GGUUUGAUUAUGGCUCAGAUUCGAACACUGGCGGGAUGCUUCUACACAUGCAAGUCGAACGGCAGCACGGACUUCGGUCUGGUGGCGAGUGGCGAACGGGUGAGUAAUGUAUCAGACGUGCCUAGUAGCCCGAGGAUAACUACGCGAAAGCGUAGCUAAUACCGCAUACGCCCUUCGAGAAAGCAGGACAACCGGGCCUCACGCACUAUUAGAGCAGCCGAUAUCGGAUUAGCUAGUUGGUGGGAGAUGUGGCUCACCAAGGCGACGAUCCGUAGCUGGUUUGAGAGGACGACCAGCCACACCAGGACUGAGAUUACGGCCCAGACUCUACGGGAGGCAGCAGUGGGGGUACGGACAAUGGAAACCUGAUCCAGCCAUCCGCGUGUGCGAUGAAGGCCUUCGGGUUGUAAAGCACUUUUGGCAGGAAAGAAACGGCACGGGAUAAUACCCGUGCAACUGACGGUACCUGCAGAACCAAGCACCAGCUAACUACACGAUGCCAGCAGCCGCGGUAAUACGUAGGGUGCAAGCGUUAAUCGGGAUUACUGGGCGUAAAGCGUGCGCAGGCGGUUCGGAAGAAAGAUGUAGAAAUCCCAGAGCUUAACUUUGGAACUGCACGUUUUUUUAACUACCGAGCUAGAGUGUGUCAGGAAGUGGAAUUCCGCGUGUAGCAGUGAAAUGCGUAGAUAUGCGGAGGAACACCGAUAGCGAAAGGCAGCCUCCUGGGAUAACACUGACGCUCAUGCACAGCGUGGGAGCAAACAGGAUUAGAUACCCUGGUAGUCCACCGCCUAAACGAUGUCAACUAGCUGUUGGAACCUUCCGGGCCUUGGUAGCGCAGCUAACGCGUGAAGUUGACCGCCUGGGAAGUACGGUCGCAAGAUUAAAACUCCGAGAAUUGACGGGGACCACCCGGCAGUGGAUGAUGUGGAUUAAUUCGAUGCAACGCGAAAAACCUUACCUACCCUUGACAUGUCUGGAAUCCCGAAGAGAUUUGGGAGUGCUCGCAGAACCGGAACACAGGUGCUGCAUGGCUGUCGUCAGCUCGUGUCGUGAGAUGUUGGGUUAAGUCCCGCAACGAGCGCAACCCUUGUCGACAGUUGCUACGAGGCACUCUAAUGAGACUGCCGGUGACAAACCGGAGGAAGGUGGGGAUGACGUAAGUCCUCAUGGCCCUUAUGGGUAGGGCUUCACACGUCAUACAAUGGUCGGAACAGAGGGUCGCCAACCCGCAGGGAGGGGCCAAUCCCGAAACCCGAUCGUAGUCCGGAUCACCGUGAUCUGCUCGACUGCGUGAAGUCGGAAUCGCUAAGUAAUCGCGGAUCAGCAUGUCGCGGUGAAUACGGUCCCGGGUCUUGUACACCACCCGUCACACCAUGGGAGUGGGUUUUCGGAAGUGGUUAGCUAACCGCGUAAGGAGGGCGAUUACCACGGUAGGAUUCAUGACUGGGGUGAAGUCGUAACAAGGUAG
rnacentral:rRNA from 1 species